UACGGAGGGUGCAAGCGUUAUCCGGAUUCACUGGGUUUAAAGGGUGCGUAGGCGGAUAGGUAAGUCCGUGGUGAAAUCCUGCAGCUUAACUGCAGAACUGCCAUGGAUACUAUUUAUCUUGAAUGUCGUGGAGGUUAGCAGAAUAUGUCAUGUAGCGGUGAAAUGCAUAGAUAUGCCAUAGAACACCAAUUGCGAAGGCAGCUGGCUAGACCUGGAUUGACGCUGAGGCACGAAAGCGUGGGGAGCGAACAGG
rnacentral:rRNA from 1 species